rnacentral:rRNA from 1 species
AUGAACGCUGGCGGCGUGCUUAACACAUGCAAGUCGAGCGGCAGCAUUUAGUUGGCGAGCGGCGGACGGCAGAGUAACACGUAGGAACGUACCCCAAACUGAGGGAUAAGCACCGGAAACGGUGUCUAAUACCGCAUAUUAUCUUCGGAUCAAAGCUUCGGCGGUUUGGGAGCGGCCUGCGUAUGAUUAGCUUGUUGGCGGGGUAAAGGCCCACCAAGGCGACGAUCAUUAGCUGGUCUGAGAGGAUGACCAGCCUGACUGGAACUGAGAACGGUCCAGACUCCUACGGGAGGCAGCAGUGGGGAAUUUUUCGCAAUGGGCGCAAGCCUGACGGAGCAACGCCGCGUGUAGGAGGAAGGCCUUCGGGUUGUAAACUACUUUUAUCGGGGACGAUUAUGACGGUACCCGAAGAAUAAGAACCUGCUAACUACGUGCCAGCAGCCGCGGUCAUACGUAGGGUUCAAGCGUUAUCCGGAAUUACUGGGCGUAAAGAGUUGCGUAGGUGGCCUGGCAAGUCGAUAGUGAAAUCAUCCCGCUCAACGGGGUAGCCAUUGUCGAAACUGCCAAGCUAGAGCAUGAGAGAGGUAGCUGGAAUUCCUAGUGUAGGAGUGAAAUCCGUAGAUAUUAGGAGGAACACCGAUGGCGUAGGCAGGCUACUGGCUCAUUGCUGACACUGAGGCACGAAAGCGUGGGGAGCGAACGGGAUUAGAUACCCCGGUAGUCCACGCCGUAAACGAUGGAUGCUAGCUGUAAUCAGUAUCGACCCUGGUUGUAGCGAAGCUAACGCGUUAAGCAUCCCGCCUGAGGAGUACGAGCGCAAGCUUAAAACUCAAAGGAAUUGACGGGGACCCGCACAAGCGGUGGAGCGUGUUGUUUAAUUCGAUGGUAAGCGAAGAACCUUACCAAGGUUUGACAUCCUGGGAAAGUUGGCGAAAGCCGACCGUGCCUUCGGGAACCCAGUGACAGGUGAUGCAUGGCCGUCGUCAGCUCGUGUCGUGAGAUGUUUGGUUAAGUCCAUCAACGAGCGCAACCCUUAUAGUCUGUUGUAUUUCUCAGGCUAGACUGCCCCGGUAACGGGGAGGAAGGAGGGGAUGAUGUCAGGUCCGUAUUUCCCUUACACCUUGGGCUACAAACACGCUACAAUGGCCGGUACAAAGGGCUGCCAAGCAGCAAUGCGGAGCAAAUCCCAUCAAAGCCGGUCUCAGUUCGGAUUGUCGGCUGAAACUCGCCGGCAUGAAGCUGGAAUCGCUAGUAACGGUAGGUCAGCGCACUACCGUGAAUACGUUCUCGGGUCUUGUACACACCGCCCGUCAAGUCAUGAAAGUCGCCAAUACCCGAAGUCUAACUUAUCAGUUGGCCUAAGGUAGGGGAGAUGAUUGGGACU